rnacentral:rRNA from 1 species
UACGUAGGGUGCGAGCGUUAAUCGGAAUCACUGGGCGUAAAGCGUGCGCAGGCGGUUGUGCAAGACAGAUGUGAAAUCCCCGGGCUUAACCUGGGAACUGCAUUUGUGACUGCACGGCUAGAGUGUGUCAGAGGGGGGUAGAAUUCCACGUGUAGCAGUGAAAUGCGUAGAUAUGUGGAGGAAUACCGAUGGCGAAGGCAGCCCCCUGGGAUAACACUGACGCUCAUGCACGAAAGCGUGGGGAGCAAACAGG